rnacentral:rRNA from 1 species
UACGGGGGGGGCAAGCGUUGUUCGGAAUUACUGGGCGUAAAGGGCUCGUAGGCGGCCAACUAAGUCAGACGUGAAAUCCCUCGGCUUAACCGGGGAACUGCGUCUGAUACUGGCAGGCUUGAAUCCGGGAGAGGGAUGUGGAAUUCCAGGUGUAGCGGUGAAAUGCGUAGAUAUCUGGAGGAACACCGGUGGCGAAGGCGGCAUCCUGGACCGGUAUUGACGCUGAUGCGCGAAAGCGUGGGGAGCAAACAGG